CAAUAGCGUAUAUUAAAGUUGUUGCAGUUAAAAAGCUCGUAGUUGGAUUUCUGGUGGGAGCGAUCGGUCUGGCGCUUAGCGCGAGUACUUGCAUCGUCUCCGGCCAUCCUUGGGGAGAGUCUGUUUGGCAUUAAGUUGUCGGGCAGAGGAUCCUCAUCGUUUACUGUGAAAAAAUUAGAGUGUUCAAAGCAGGCUUAUGCCGUUGAAUAUAUUAGCAUGGAAUAAUAAGAUAGGACUUUGGUACUAUUUUGUUGGUUUGCGCACCAAAGUAAUGAUUAAUAGGGACAGUUGGGGGUAUUCGUAUUCCGUUGUCAGAGGUGAAAUUCUUGGAUUUACGGAAGACGAACUACUGCGAAAGCAUUUACCAAGGAUGUUUUCAUUAA
rnacentral:rRNA from 1 species